rnacentral:sRNA from 1 species
GCUGGGUGUGCUGGUGCACUCCUGUAAUCCCAAUGGCUGGGGAGGCUGAGGCAGGAGGAUCCCAAGUUCAAAGCCAGCCUCAG